CUCUCUGGAGCUUUGAUGAAUUCCUUCUCAGAAAAGAUGCUAAAAUCAUGAGUUGGAAAAGCACCAACCCACACAUCGGAACCAUAAGGGACAGUGUAUUGAGGUAUCUCACCUUCACUUAGAUUGGGUCCAAGGCGGGUCAACUUCACAUCCCCAUCUUUCCCGUUCAGCUCAACUAUCUGCAAAUCAUUAAAUUAAUUCAUCCUUCGAUAUAUAGAGCCGACUUUGUGAAUAAAGACUUGAUUGUUGUUGUUAUAGUUAAGAGAAGAAAAAGGAUAGAUAGAUACCGUGAGAGACUCUCCUAGGUAAUAAUGCCAUGUUUCAGCACCAGGUAUGCGAUGAGCACGACUUACACUCCCAGACGGAAUCAGAAAAUUUAUUGAGCUUGAUACGUGGCGAUCUCCUUUAUCUAUUGUUAUUAUUUCCCAAAACAAAAUCACAUCAUCAAAUUCAAAAGCAAUGAAUAAUACAUAUGUGCAAAGAUUAUAUAGUAACAUAGAUAGAUGAAAGAAAAUAGUUACAUUCAGAGGGCAACUGAGACUUGUGAAGAAGAAUGGAAUCAUCUUGGAAUGUUUCAGUGUAGAACCCGCCUUGGUGGUGAGCCUCCAGAUUCAACUUCUCUACGAUCUCUGAUGCCGACAAAGACAUAGUUUCUAUCUUUCUUUUUGUUCCUUACGUACUCUUCCUCUUUCUCUAUGAUUCUCUUAUCCAAAAUGGUUAGUCACUUGGCCUUAUAUAGUAACAAAUACAUGCACUUGCUAUUAAUUUGUUAUACUCAUUCUACCGUCGAGUUGGAUAUUAUGUUGGGUUUAUUCAAGUAUGAAAUCCCACAUUGGAUAUGCGUGGAAAAGUGAAUGAGUUUAUAAGAAGGAAACACAUUAAAAUGUUUUAAAGUUUUAGUUCAAGACGUAGUGUCUUACUCAGUCGUGAUUUCUUAAUAGAAAGGAUCUUUUUUCUUAGCUUGUGUCAUAGAUUGCUUAGUUUGCUAUUAUUGGUAUUAUUGAGUACCCCACUCCCUUUUUAAAAUCUACUAGGAAUUGAUUAUUGGUAGUCUUGGAGAGAGUUUUUAAUAUUUGAGAGAUUUUAAAUUAGUAUUUUAUCCGUCUUCAAAGGAUAGAAAAAAUUGUCAAAAGUGAAAAGGGAACGCUUUUUUAAUAGUCCAUAAUUACUUUUGCACUAUUUACAACUUUGUGAUCACAUAUUUCAUAUCAAUAAUAAUUAUAUUUACUUAUUUGCAUAACUUCUCUCACACUAAACAUCCUCAUUUGUAAAGUGGCAUUGGCAAUUUAUUGUAAUAAACUAUACUUGUAGUUAUCAAUUUAAUUGAAAGAGGUCACACUCGACUUUAAUUUAAACAAGUAGAUCCUAAAAAUAGUCUUUACUUAUUUACCUGAUAAAAAAAGUUAAAGUUUCUCUCUAAUAUCUUUAGAAGUCUCACAACAUGUUAGUUUAUUUGAAACCUUAUUAUGUCUUCAAACUUUUAAAUAGACCAAUAAAAUUUAUCUUUAAAUAAACUAACAUGUCUGAUGUAAAUAUAUAAAUCUAAAAUUAACAAUUAAAUUAUAUUUUAUAUACAUAUUUUAUAAUAAAAUUUCAUAUAUAAUAAUAAUAUUUAUAUUAAAAUAGUAUAAUAUAAAUAUAUCAUAUAAUUAUGUCAUUGUGUUGGGCUCUAUAGUUCUUUUAAUUUAAAUGAUCUAAAAUCUGCUUAAUAAACUAAAUAUAUUUUUUAAAAGUCUAAACAUGAAUUAUUUAUUAAAUGGACUGACAUGAGCUAUUAAAGGUAAGGUAAUAGACUUAUGAGAAAGGAUCUCACAUGUGCUUGCCCCUAUUUCUAGUGUACAAAUUCAAUUCUUAUCUUUAUUAUCUUAACUAUGAUUUAGAACAAACUUUUACCAUUUUUUAUUCAAUAUGAAAUGGAUAGAAUAAUAUUUAUAAAGCCAUAUGAUGUCACCAUCACCAUGAUGUUUAAAGCUUUUUGUUUUUAUUCUCUGACUUGUAUAAAAAAUAAUCAAGGUAAACGAAACAAUUAUAUAAAUAUAAUGAGAUGCUCUCAAGUUUAUAAAAAAUAAGCAUGAUUAUGAGUCGAUUAUGACUAGGAAACCGAUCUCUCCACCCUUUCAUUCCAGGGGUAUUAUAUGAAUAAUAAUACAAAUUUUAAAAACUUAAUAAUUGUAUAUAAGCAAAUAGUCAUGGAAAACGAAACAAUUAUAUAAAUACCAUAAAAUGCUUUCAAGUUUAAAUAUACAUAUAAACAUGAGUAUACGCCAUAUAUAUGUUUAUAUCAACUCAUUUUUCUUCAAAUAAAUUUCACUCAUCACAUUCACUUUCAGCAAACUCUUAAAUCUAAAUAGAGUGGUGUAUUUCAUAAGCUCAUGAUGACUACAAGUAUAAAUAUAUAUAGGGUCAUUCACAUGAGAAUAUUUUCAUGUAAAAAUUAUAAGCAUAAUAAAGUUUACUCAUAGAAACAUACAUGAUAAGACGGUAACACAAUUAUAUAAACAACCGUACAAAGUAAACCAUUUUCCCUCAGUAAACCAGCAAAAUAUAUUUUUAUCUAAGUAUGUCGGUUAUUUCAACAAACAAUACAAAAUCUGACAACAAUUUUAUAAACAUAAUGAGCUGGUUUCAAGUUUACAACAUAAAUAUAUAACAUGACCAUGAGUCGGCUUAAUUUAUGCAAUAUAUCCAGGUAAACCAAUUUUUUUGGUCAACAAGUAAACCAUCUUAUAAUGGUUGAUUAGUAUUUGUACUUGUAGGGGUUAACUAAAUUAAUAUAUGAGGUUUAGGGUUUAGCCAUGAGUUGAUUGGUUUAGCCAGCUCAUAAUCAUCAGUUGAUAUAUUUUACUAAUUUCUAUAAAGCUGUAAUAAUUAUCAUAUUAUCUAUGCUUGGUCACAAAAUGAAUAUUUUUUCUCUAUUAUUAGGCUAAUAAAUGCUCAUUCAUUUAAACCUUUUUUUUUAAAAUAACAUGAAGAUGAGUUGAAUUUGGGAUGACAUUUGACCAUUAUUGAGUCACUAAGUGUUCAUUAGACGUUUCUAUAACUCUUUUUAUUUUUAUCUUAAAGGAAAAACGAAAAUCAGUAGAGAAAAAUUAAUUUUGAAAUAGUAUACAAUAAUUAUUGAGUCAAUUAAGAGCUCAUUAAAGUCCUCUUAUACUUUAUGUGGGACUUUAUACACUUUAUAAGCAUAAAUCAUAAACUAUUUUUCUUCCUAAUUUUCUUUAUUGUAAAUGCACGUACUUAAGAAGCCAAAAAGUUAUUUGUCUUUGUUAGAAGUAAAAAUGUAAUCCAAAUGUAUUAAAUGGUAGUUAGUUGCAGUAGAGAUAUUUGUUCCAGUUGGUUGAAACUUACUAUUUUAGUUAGGAAGUUUGAAAUUCUGUUUUUUCUGUUGUUGUAAACUUUCUAUAAGAAGGAAGUUCUUCUUGUUGAUAAUCAAUCAAUAUUCAUACUCUUUCUUCUUUCUGUUUUCUUGCUGAGAUUCUAACAAGUGGUAUCCAGAGCACGUUCCAUACCUAAGGACCUGAGAAUCACGCCUCAAAAAUUCACUCCCUCAAAUCUGCUACUGCGUGUAGAGUGCAAAUCGAGAAGUUCACUGUGUGUGAAUUAGGAUUGGUGUUGUUGCAAGAGAAGUGAAGGCUGCGCAUAAGAAGUGAGGAGCAGAGAAGCUAGAUCUGGUUCAGAAAUGAUUGGAAAUAGAGGAAACCUACCGUCAAUGAGUCUUCCUAUGCUAACAGAGAAGAAUUGGGACAGAUGGAGCAAGCAGACGAAAGUAUUGUUCAACUUUCAAGAAGUAAGUGAUGCAGUUGAAGAUGGACUUCUUGUACCUGGUCUUGAUGCCACUGAAAUUCAGAGGACCAUGUUCAAAGAGGCCAAGAAGAAGGAUAACAAAGCAUUAUUCCUAGUGCAUCAAUGUGUUGAUGAUACACAUUUUGAAAAAAUCCAGAAUGCAAACACUGCAAAAGAAGCAUGGGAUAUCUUAGUUCGAAGCCACUCUGGUGGAGACAAGAUCAAAAAGGUAAAGCUUCAAACCCUUAGAAAGCAAUAUGAAUUAACUCAAAUGGAAGAAACUGAGAAGAUAGGUGACUACUUUACAAAAGUACUCACAAUGACAAACCAGAUGAAAGCUUGUGGAGAAGUGAUGACAGAUCUCAUGAUCAUUGAAAAGGUCAUGAGAUCCUUACCUCAAAAUUUUGACUACAUUGUAGUAGCCAUAGAAUAAUCCAAAGAUGUCUCGGGAAUGAAGAUAGAGGAGCUUCAAAGUUCCUUAUAAGCACAUGAAAUGAGACUGCUUGAAAGGAAUCCAACCAAGAAUCCAGAACAAGCCUUGAAGGCAACAAGUUUCAGAGAUGAAGAUAGUCAUAAAACAAGAAAGUGGAAAGGAAAGAAGAUAGUCAAUACUCAUGUUACAGUUUUCGUUCGUAUAAGGAAAAUUCUUAGCCAAACUCUUAUAAAAUUCCUAGUGGUAGAUUAUUGGUAGUUGUGGACAAAUUCUUAGCCAAGCUCUUAGCAAAUACUCAUGUCACCUUGAUGUUUCAACCUUUUUGUUUUUGUUCUCUGACUUGUACCAAAGAUGGUCAUGCUAAAACAAACAACUAUAACAAUAAUGAAAUCCUUCCACGUUUAUAUAAAUAUAACAUGAUUAUUAGUCAGAAAGUGAUGUUAAAUUUAUAUGAGCAAUUGUAUAAAUUUCAACAACAAAAUACUUCAUAAUUAGUUGACAAUGAAAAUUGCAGGUACAAUUUCCCUAUAUCAAAAGUUUUACCAUUCUGAGUAGUGAGUAGUACAACAACAACAACAGAUACAGUUUUAUUUAUGCAAUACUUAAAUAACACAAAACUAGUCUCAACAUAAUCAUAACAGUUACAUUGAAGAAAACAAGAGUAGUGAUGUGAUCACUUAUUCUAAUUCAAGGAAAGUGAGAGCAGUAAUAAGAGGUUCAAGCUGGUGGAGGAUAUAUCAAUUGACAAAGAUAUUAUCAUGGAGGGGAAUAAUUAGAUGAAGUUGGAAUCAAAUACAAGUUGUUCUUCUUUACCACAGCAGAACCAAAGGUUUCAGACAUAUCCAAAUCUUCUGGAUUCAUUCCAUUGGGAAGUUCCCAAUCGAAAUGGUAAAGUAAUGCAGCUAGAGGAAGUUCAAUAUUAGCUAAACCUAGUAAAAUGCCUGGACAAAUUCUCCUUCCUGCUCCAAAAGGAAUGAACUCAAAAUUGUUCCCAUUAAAGUCAAAGUUAGUGUUAUCAAAUCUUUCAGGAACAAAGCUAUCUGCAUCAUACCAAUAAUUUGGAUCUCUUGCAAGUGCCCAUGCAUUUACUAUAACCCUAGUCUUUGUAGGUAUUUGGUAUUCACCUAUUUUGCAUGAUUCUUUGCUUUCUCUUGGUACUAAUAAAGGAACAACUAUGUGUAACCUCAUAGUUUCUUUGAUCACUGACUUGAAGUAACUAAGUUUAGAUAGAUCCUUCUCGUUAAUUGUUUCUUUUCCCUUAAAAGCCUCUCUUAUUUCAACUUGUAACUUUUCCUUCACUCUAGGGUUUUUCAUUAGUUCUGACAUUGCCCAUUCUAUUGAUGUUGAUGAAGUAUCAGUUCCAGCACCAAAUAUGUCCUGGGUAUAUUUUGGAACAAGUAAAUUCAAAUGAUUAAACAUUUCUGUUAACUAAAUCAGCAUGAUUAUCCUCUUAAUUUAGAGAAGAUAAAACAUUUAAUGAUCGUGAAUUCGAGUCUCAUCCACAACAAAAAUAUUAACAAUUAACAUAUUAACAAUUGCCGAUAAAAAAAACAAAACUAUGUGGGAAUGAUAUUUUUUUGGCCUAGAGAAGAAAUUAAGUUUGAGAUUUAUUAAUAAAGAGACAUUUUAAAAAAACUUCUACAUUUUUCUCUUUUAAAAUAUUUUAUGGACUUUAUUGACACACCAACAAUAUUGGUUCAAGGCUAGUAAUGGCAAAAUGGUCCACCCAUUUUUCUUGUGCUAAAAAAUUUAAGUGGCACCUUAAAUGAUAAAAUUGUAUGUUAUGCAUGUUUCAAUGAGUUAGACUCCUCUUUAUUACUAUAAAGUAAAACAUAAAAUUUCAUAUAAUAAAGGAAAAAUAAAUUAGUAAAGUAAUCAAAUAGAUUUUUUUAAUCAAAUUUAAUAUUUUAUAUAAAAUUAAAAAAAUCAUAUAAUAUCAUAAUUUAUUCAAUUUUAUUUUUACUUUUUCUUAUAUUACGCUCAUUGACCAUCCACAUUAUUCAAUAAAAAUGCUUACAAACUUGAUAUGAAAAUUGGCUAAAUUAAUAUGUUCUUCCAUAAAAAAAUGUUGAUUAUUGAAGCAUAUUGUCCAUUUUGCAUUAUUAUCAGUAGUGAUGGUGAAGGCACGCCAAAUGAAUUUCAGACAAAUUGAAAUUUCAACAGAUUUCAAACAAUUUGAUAAUUCAAACAAUUAGAUGCUGAAAACACCAGAGAAAGCACGGAUGAAAAAUCUAUGACCCUACCCUUGAAACCAAGCCGGCAAAUAUGGAUCUUUUCCAAUACUUAGAGGUUAAGUAUUAGGUCAAGAUUAUAACAUGUAUAGAAAUAAAUAUCUAAUGGUCAUUAUUUUUUUCUUAAUUUGAUAGUUUCAUUUAUUCUCAUAUUUUUAGUAGGAGAGAAGAUUUGGACCCCAUGAUAGGGAUUGGAUUUAUGAAACCCAUGCCUUGUCCAUGGUAAUUCUAGGAAAAGACUAAGAUUUAUCUGAUUACUUUUAUUCGUUUUAAAAUUUGUUAGGUGGUCAAUUAUUAUUAUUCUAUGCAUAAACUCGUUCUAUAAAUUUGGUUAUAACGAUCAGUGUUUUUUGUUUUAUAUUAUUAUUUAGUUUAUAUAUAAUUAAAAUAAAGGAAAAUGAGAAAAAUAUGAUACCAUUUAAUUAUGACGAAGAUCCUAAAAAAUCAUAUUGGACCAUAAUCUCAAUAUGUAACAACAAUACAAUUGAGCCCAAAAAAAUUGUAUUUUGCCUUCUUAUAAAAGAAAUAUUUUAUUAAAAAAUUAUUGCAAAAAUAUCACAUAAUUAAAUUUCUUGAUAUAGAAUAUGUUGUUAUCUUUAUUUUGUCAUUAUAAUUUAUUUUAAUUUCUUAAUUUAAUUCGAACUUUGAUAUUAAAGGUUCAAUUUUUUUUCACUCACCGGACCUAUAAAAUAUCAACACCCAUCUAACCCUAAUCUCAACCUCAAUAUACUCAAGCCAUUUCUCUUGGCUAGAACAGUGUUCCAGGUUAAUUUAGCACUCUAAAAGGAAAUAGAUUCCUCUCCGGUACUAGAUUAUUUAGUACUAGGAAAAUGAAAGGGGUUAUGUUUCAAAAAUAUUUAAUUUAAAAAAAACAAAAAUUUGAACUAUUAAAAUAUUAUUUUAUGUUAUAAUUUGAGGUACGUAGUGCCCUUUGUCAUAUAUUAUAAUAUUUUUGUCAUAUAUUAUAAUUUAAGGUAUGUCCUGCCCUCUCCACACAGUAGUGGAACUCAUUUAAAAAGUCUUUCAAUGUGUUCUUCUAAUAUUUUAUAGAAAACAUAUAAACAAAUAAUAUAAAGUUAUAGAAGGAAGGUAAUGGUGUAUUAGAUUUUACUAACCCAUAUGACGGCUUUAAUGUUGUCAUUCGUGAUAGGUACCUCGAGGCUUCCAUUCUCCUUCACGCGCAAAAGAACAUCAACUAUAUUUUCUGCUUCACCCUUGCCAUGUUUUGAUGAUGUCAUAUUUUCAUGAUGUUCCAUGAUAAUGUUUUCUAACAUCAUAUCCAACUUCUUAUGCACACCCUCCAAUUUUCCUUUCAUCCCAGUAAUGAAAUGAAUAGGUUUCAAUGAAGGAAAGAAAUCAGCCACAUCUAAACCUCCCAUUAAUUCUACUCCUUUUUGGAGCAAAGAUAUAAGUUCAUCUUCAUGCUCAGAUUUCUUGCCAAACACUGCCCUUGAAACAAUGGUACUCACCAAAGAGAAAAGUCGUUUAGAAAGAUUGAAUGGUGAACCUUGAGACAAGUGAAUGGAUUUUAUGAGCUUAUCUACCUCAUCUUCUCGAAUGAAGGAGAAUGAUUGUACCCUCUUAGCAGUUAGAAGCUCUAAUAUGCAUAUUUUUCUCAUUUGUCUCCAGUAAUCAUUGCAUGGAGAAUAUGCAAUAUCAGUUGAUCCAUAGAACAAAAUUUCAGAUGCAAGAAGUUUUGGCCUCUGAGCAAAAGUAAGAUCAUGGGUCUUCAAGAUCUCUUUUGCCAUUUCAGGAGAUGACACAACCACUGUAGAAACUUCACCAAGUUGAAGGUGCAUUAGAGGUCCAUAUUUGUUGGCUAGGUCUCUGAGAGUAUGGUGAGGAAGUGAACCUGAACAUGCUAGCUGGUGCAAGUUCCCUAUUAGAGGCAGUUUCCAUGGUCCUGGGGGCAGUUUUUGUGUCAUACUAUUCACUUUGUUUUUCUGCUUAUAAGUCUUUGCAAGCCAAAGCAGCAAAGAGAGGCAAAAGAUGAGAACCAGUUGGAAGGAAGGAAGGAGUUCCAUGCAGGCACAAGUGAAUAAAGAUAGGAGUUUCUUUUAGGAGUUUGUAACUUAUGUUUCUAUGCAUCUUCCACCUUUCCCUUGCUAGGGUAUUUAUAUUCAAAAUUUGAAGAAUGGUAGUAACUAAUUUAUCAAAGUUAAGGUAAAGGGAAUAUUGAGCUAGAAUCCUCUCAUUGUGGAGAAAUAAAUACAUAAAAAAACAAAAUGAAAAAAUAUAAAAAUAUGAUAUUUUUAUCCUUUAAAUAUAAUUAAAUGAUAUUCUUAUCUUAUAUUUCAAGUAUAGAAAUAAGAACUUAUAUCUUCCUUACUGAAAACUAUUCUAAUUCAAGAAUAUUAGGGAGAGAAAAAUAUAGAGACAGAUUUCUAAUUAACCAAUGUUUACAAGGAUAAAAAAACAUAUUUAAAUCAACUAGAUAAUUUUAAAAUAUAUUUUCUUGACUAAUCAAUUGUGAGAAUAGAUGGUAUCACACAAACAGCCACCCAAAAGGGUAAGUAAAAUUUUGAGUUUAAUGAAUAUUUGUUGAUAAUGGAAAUUUUUUCACUUUUUAUAUCAUUACUGUAUAAUACUUGGACUUAAGAUACUAAAAAAACAUUUACUUUGGUGAAGAGAAAUAAAAAUACAAUGAUUCAGUUUGAAAGUUCCAAAAACAUUUACUCCAACAACUAUUAGAAUAGCAAAUAUGAUAUGUGAGAUAUGUGUUAAAGUUGCUUUCUUUUAUUAAUAUAGAUAAUAGUUGUUGGAGGAGAUAGGAAAUAUGAUAGAUAAUGAUGUUGUUUUCUAAAAUAUAAGGAUUCACAUGUCAUCUUGAACCAUAUAUUAGUUUAGUGAUAUAAGACUUUACUAAUUUUUAUGUAUUGUAUUUGAUAAACAUUCAAUUUAUGAGAGCAAUAUUUAUUAAAAGAAAUAAUCACAUAACUCUUAUUCAUAACAUUAGAGAAUAUCAUUGGUUAUGUCGAAAAAAAUACAUAUAAUAUAUGUUAGUGGCUUAAAAAAAGAUAAGUCCUGUAUUUUUUUUAUAAUUUUGAUCAAUGUCUAGUACUUGGUCUAAUUGUUGUAAUUUAAAUAUGGUGUGAACCACUAUAUAUAAUGACUUUGGGAAAAAUUAUUAUUAUUAUGAGAUAUUAGACCAAAUUAAUAGGAAUUUUAUUUGAAUAUUGUAGAUUAAAAAAUUAAUUAUACCUGAUUUUAAUUUUAAGGUAUGGUUAGAUGACUUAUUUAUUUAUUUUGGUAUAUAUGUGACUUAUAUUUAUGGUUGAUCAUUUUAAUUUAAAAAAGUUAUCUCAAAGAAUGUUUCUCCUGUAAACAAGUAAACUGUAUUUUAAUCUGACCAUGUGUGUCAGCAAAACAGAAACUGACAAAGAACAUAAUAAUUUUAUAAACCAAUGAGCUGGUUUCAACUUUCCAUACAUAUAAAGAUAGAUAUGAACAUGACUAUGAGUCAGCUUAAUUUAUGGAUGAAUUCUUGAAGUGAAUGAAUUCUUUCCAAUUGCAUCAAAUGCAUAUUCUUUGUUUUAUUGAUGAAUUCUUCCACUAUCAGAUCCUUUUAUAUUAUGCACGUACUCCCAUUGGAAUCAGAAAAUAUGUCGACGACAAUACAGGAUGAUCAACUGUAUAUAUUGUUAUUUCCCAAAUUGGAAUGCAAUCAAAUAUUCCUGGUAAACAAAACAGUUAUAUAGAUACGAUAAGAUGUUUUAAGUUCAUAUAAAACAUCAUAGACGUGUGUGGAUAUAUAUUUUAUGUAUCUAAAUAUUUUAUUUUAUAUAAUUAAAAUGUCAUUUUUGUAUGUAAUUUAUUUUAUAUUAUAGGUUUUUAUUGGAUAUAUUUUAAAUUAUUAUUUUUUGUUUUUAUUAAAAUGUCCAAGUUAAGGUAAGAGUGAUAGUUCAACUUGCAAUUAAUAUUUUGGUAUUUAUGAUUAUACGUUUUCUAUAGAAAUUAAAAAGUGUUAAUAAAAAAAUAAAAAUGACACAAUGGUGGUAAUUACACUGUGUUUUAUCGAAAAAUUUACUCUGUUGGUGCACCUUGACCGAAAAAUUACGGUCAUGGUGCACCUUUUUAAAAUAUUACGAUUAUGGUGUAGGUCUCACCUAAAUCGGCAACAGGGUUGCCGAUUUCCAUUAUUUAUUUAUUUUUUAAUCUCCUCCCCCCUAAAUCGGCAAUGGGAGGAGUUUUUGAUUUAUUUAAUAUUUUUUUAAUCUUCUCCCCCCUAAAUCGGCNNNNNNNNNNNNNNNNNNNNNNNNNNNNNNNNNNNNNNNNNNNNNNNNNNNNNNNNNNNNNNNNNNNNNNNNNNNNNNNNNNNNNNNNNNNNNNNNNNNNCUAAUAUAUUAUUUUUUUUAAUCUCCUUCCCCUAAAUCUGUGUGAUUAAGUGUCACAUGGAGGCGGUUUUCUCCUUCUUGGCGGUUGAACUCUUAAUUGUUGUUCAUUUCGCUGCGAGAUUCUUGCUCUUCCACGUGUCACCAAUUGUGGCUCCUCCUCAUCUGAAUCAUCUUCAUCAACAUCUUCAACGACAACCUCAUCAUCAGUAUGUUGUAUACCAAAAAUAUUUGUAGACGGCAUAGUAGGACGAUAAUAUUGUUGAGGAUCAUAUGCCGAGAAUGGUGUAGUUGAACUAGUAGCAAACAUUGUUGGUAUUGGGUUUUGAGAACUUGAUGAGAAAUAAUUGUAUGGGGAAUCAUAAUUUGCAAACCCAUAUUGUUGUUGUUUUUGUCGUUGUCGUUAUCGUUAUCGUUGUCGUUGUCAUCGUCGUUGUUGCAUUGUCAUUGUCGUUGUCGUUGUUGCCGUCGUUGUCGUUGUUGUUGUCGUUGUUGCCGUCGUUGUCGUUGUUGUUGUCGUUGUCGUUGUCUUUGUCGUUGUCGUUGUCAUUGUCGUUGUUGUUGUUGUUGUCGUUGUCGUUGUCGUUGUCAACAUCUUCAAUGACAACCUCAUCAUCAGUAUGUUGUAUACCAAAAAUAUUUGUAGACGACAUAGUAGGACGAUAAUAUUGUUGAGAAUCAUAUGCCGAGAAUGGUGUAGUUGAACUAGUAGCAAACAUUGUUGGUAUUGGGUUUUGAGAACUUGAUGAGAAAUAAUUGUAUGGGGAAUCAUAAUUUGCAAACCCAUAUUGUCGUUGUUGUUGUUGUUGUCGUUGUCAUUGUCGUUGUCGUUAUCGUUGUCGUUGUCGUUGUCAUUGUCGUUGUUGUUGUUGUUGUUGUUGUCGAUGUCGUUGUCAACAUCAUCAACAGCUUCAACGACAACCUCAUCAUCAGUAUGAUGUAUACCAAAAAUAUUUGUAGACGACAUAGUAGGACGAUAAUAUUGUUGAGAAUCAUAUGCCGAGAAUGGUGUAGUUGAACUAGUAGCAAACAUUGUUGGUAUUGGGUUUUGAGAACUUGAUGAGAAAUAAUUGUAUGGGGAAUCAUAAUUUGCAAACCCAUAUUGUCGUCGUUGUUGUUGUUGUCGUUGUCAUUGUCGUUGUCGUUAUCGUUAUCGUUGUCGUUGUCAUCGUCGUUGUUGUUGUUGUUGUUGUCGUUGUCAACAUCAUCAACAUCUUCAAUGACAACCUCAUCAUCAGUAUGUUGUAUACCAAAAAUAUUUGUAGACGACAUAGUAGGACGAUAAUAUUGUUGAGAAUCAUAUGCCGAGAAUGGUGUAGUUGAACUAGUAGCAAACAUUGUUGGUAUUGGGUUUUGAGAACUUGAUGAGAAAUAAUUGUAUGGGGAAUCAUAAUUUGCAAACCGUUGUCGUUGUCGUUGUCAUUGUCGUUGUUGUUGUCGUUGUCGUUGUCAACAUCUUCAACGACAACCUCAUCAUCAGUAUGUUGUAUACCAAAAAUAUUUGUAGACGACAUAGUAGCACGAUAAUAUUGUUGAGAAUCAUAUACCGAGAAUGAUGUAGUUGAACUAGUAGCAUACAUUGUUGGUAUUGGGUUUUGAGAACUUGAUGAGAAAUAAUUGUAUGGGGAAUCAUAAUUUGCAAACCCAUAUUGUUUGAUGAGAAAUAAUUGUAUGGGGAAUCAUAAUUUGAUCGUUAUCGUUGUCGUUGUCGUUGUCGUUGUU
rnacentral:lncRNA from 1 species